AUCGCUUCUCGGCCUUUUGGCUAAGAUCAAGUGUAGCAGUAGCUCUUCCUCCUUUCAUAGUCCAGCCAGCCCAU